rnacentral:rRNA from 1 species
GACGAACGCUGGCGGCGUGCCCAAUACAUGCAAGUCGAGCGAAUCUUUUGGGAGCUUGCUCCCGAAAGAUUAGCGGCGGACGGGUGAGUAACACGUGGGCAACCUGCCUAUAAGACUGGGAUAACUUCGGGAAACCGGAGCUAAUACCGGAUACGUUCUUUUCUCGCAUGAGAGAAGAUGGAAAGACGGUCUCGGCUGUCACUUAUAGAUGGGCCCGCGGCGCAUUAGCUAGUUGGUGGGGUAAUGGCUCACCAAGGCGACGAUGCGUAGCCGACCUGAGAGGGUGAUCGGCCACACUGGGACUGCGACACGGCCCAGACUCCUACGGGAGGCAGCAGUAGGGAAUCUUCCGCAAUGGACGAAAGUCUGUCGGAGCAACGCCGCGUGAACGAAGAAGGCCUUCGGGUCGUAAAGUUCUGUUGUUAGGGAAGAACAAGUACCAGAGUAACUGCUGGUACCUUGACGGUACCUAACCAGAAAGCCACGGCUAACUACGUGCCAGCAGCCGCAGUAAUAC